GUAAAUCUUAAGUAACCCCAGUGUCACCUGGUGCAAAAGCGAGCAGCGUUUGGCCAGCAAAUCAAUAUUAAGGACAUAUUUCCUCUCUCUUAUCUGCCUUCUUCUCUUUGUUCUCUACCAUCCCAUCUCAGCCUUGAUCGCUUUCAUUAUAAGGUUGAAGGGCAGUGCUGAGUGAGUCCAUUAAUCUCAUGCAUUUUCAUGAAUAUCAAUUACCACUUGGGUUCCAGCAGAUUUUUCUUUCCUUCAGCAGAGUUAAGACCAAAUUCUUUACCCAGACCCUGUGUUAGGUAAGACCUGGAGGCGUUAUUCUAAAGCCAACUUGCCAGUUUUUCCCACUCUUUCCCACCACACUGAUGGCUCUUUGUUUUUCUCCUGUUCUAUCUGUAUAUAUAGUGGUUAUCAGGAAGAGACAUUUCCCUCUCUGCUCUUGAAAAGCGAUAUCUACACAAACUGUUGGGCAGAAUUUGGAGUGCAGAAUCUGCUGUUCGAUUACCAUGGAGUUAAGCUCUCUCAUGUGUGACUAGGUAUUGUAUUUUUUUUCCCCAGCAAGAUCGAAGUUUAAAAGGACAGAAGAAUUUCCAUUGCUUGAGAUGGAAGAAAAUGUCUGGUGUUGAAACUUGCAGCAUUUAUGGACUGCUGGGAAAUAGGACUAUUUUGGAGGACCUUGCUGUCUUCUAUGCCCCAGGAUGUUUCUGACCGGCUCCAACCCAUGGAUCACCCAGCACCUGAAUCUUGGUCUGCCUUCUCGAAGAUCCAUAGUGACAAACCCUAAAGCAGCUCUGUUCUCAUAGAGACAGAACAUCAUGUUCACUUUCCCCCUGCACAGCAGAGGAAACAACUUUGCCCAUUAUUUACAAGGACAGUCUGGUUCUGUUCCUGCUGAGAGCAGAGCACCAACAUUGAGGUGGGAAGAGACAGAGGUUGUUCCUGGGCCUCACUGCCAACGUGGAGGGGAUUCACACUGCGCAGGGACUGGAGCAGCUCUGGACACAACUUUGAGGUAAGCUUCCCAGGGAGGUCACAGUACUCAGAGUUUGGAAAAAGAGCACAGAGUUUUCAACCUUUUUGUUUGUUUGUUUUUUGGCAGAAAUCUGGUAUGUUUGGGUCCUUGGGAACAGUUUAUUUGAAAUUAAAAUCUUAUCAGCCAAGUACUUUCUGAUAUCCAACUCAUAAAUACAGAUUAGUAGUAUUGGUUUGUUGCAAUGUGUUCCAUAAGCUUUUCAUGACUGCUCAUGAACACACUGAAUUAUAAGCACAGAACAGCCCUGUGGAUUAGAUGCAGCAUUUCUUAGCAUUGUCUGAAGCCUGUUCUCUUAAACAACAUUUGACAGGUGAAUGCAGCAGAGAAAACAUGGUCCUGGUGUGUGCAUUGAAAGCAGAUGCAGCAAUCUGAGCUCAAUGGCUCAGAGGGGGUGGCUGCUGCAAAGCUGUGACACAGAGGGUAAAUAAUGAGGGGCUAUUUCUGCCCUGGUAGGGAAAAAAAAUAAUGUGGGGAUGGGAGAUAGACUUGAAAACAAUCACUUCAAAUGAUUUUGGAACUGUAUGAGCUGGAGAUGUGCUGCAUUUAUACUGAAGGAUGAGCCCAGAAGCUGACCUA
ensembl:lncRNA